rnacentral:ncRNA from 2 species
UUUCGCGCUCACAUUUCAGGUGCUUUCAAGGUUUCGUUCUUGAAGGUUAAACGGGAAGCUGGUGCGUUUCAGUCGAAUGCAACAAAGCCAGCACUGCCCCCGCAACGGUAAAUGAGUUAACCAUCUGCAAUAGGCCACUGUGUCAUCACACGGGAAGGCGCAGAUGUGGAAUCGCUUCCACUCAUGAGUCCGGAGACCGGCCCGAAGUGAAUAUUUCUA